UGUGCUUAGAAGACUAGAGAGAGAUGGAGAUGGAGAGAUGGAGAGAUGGAGAGAGAUUGUUUGUGUUUUUAGUGUUUACUGACAUUUCUGCUACAGAAUACCCUGAACAUCUCUCUUUCUCACUAAUUCAUUCAUUGUGGAAAGAGAUUUGGUAAAGAUCUGUGAGAGAGAGAGGGGGGUCAGUACUUUUAUUUCUUCCCCCUGUGUGACUCUCAUGAAGACAAUGACCCAUCAUAUCAUCAUCAGCAUCUUCUUCUCUUCGCACUGUGCCCAAUGAUCAUCAGAUCCACCCAGUUGUGAUUUUUAAUCUCUCUUUUCUGUGCAAAAGUGGACUUUGCUUGCUUUUAAUGGCCAGUUUGGGAGUUGGGGAAGUACAGUAUUGUUGUGUUUAUCAAGGGAGGAAAGUACCAUUUGAUCUAUUUAUUUUUUCUAAAAAGAAUCAUUUGCAGUACAAGUGUGGCCUAACCCAUAUAUAUAAUAUUCAUAAUGUGGAGUUGUUUUCAAGGUGUUGGUCUCUAUAUAUAUCUCUUUACUUUCUUUUCUUUUCUUUUUCUAAUCUCUCUCUUUUUGUUUAAACUUCAAUAUUUCUUGGAAAUGUAUGUUGUCUUGGCCUCUUGGGUUGUGUAGUGACUAAUUUCCUUUUAAUUUUCUAAUCAAAGUUAACUAGCUUUGUUGUUGUUUUCCAACUUUUGAAACAAUUGCCAUAUAUGGAUGAGCCUACUGCCUACUUCCUCAGCUAUGUUCUUGUUUUGGUAAUUCAUUUAUGUUUGCCUCUUCCUAGUUAUAUAUUUUGAGCUAGUUCUAUGCAUUGUGGUCCCUCUUUCUCUUGAUUUAUGUAUGCAUUGCAGGGGAGAUUAAUGGUGGUGGUUGUCCAUUCUUUCAAGUGCCUGGUGUUUCUGCGAAUUGUUAAUGUGAUGAUCGAUAAUGAGUCGAGUUCAAUACCCAUUUGAAAGAAUUCAUCCACAUCCAACUCGACCAUUGUUGAAGGUGAAGUUCUCACUAAUGGGUAUUUAGUGGAGCCAACAACCUAACAGCCAACGUAGUUAAGGCAUACACUCGACUUAAUAGUACCUAAAUUCGAGUCCCCUUCCCUCCUUAACCAAAAGGGGGGGAAUUGAGUGGAGUUGUUUUUUCCCUUUACCAUUGCAAUCAAUGUAUACUGGAGGAUGUGUAGAAUGUAUAUUCACAGCUCACAGAAAUAUGCAGAAAAUCCCAUUAUUUCAUAGCCAUCAAUCUAUUUUUCCAUUGUUAUACUCUCUUUGGUAGCAGAAAAGGCAAGCUAGCUGGUCAAGGACAAAUGUAAGAGAGUAUAAUGAAUGAAGCAAAAAUCUUUACCUAAAUCAAAGGCAGUACAAAAAAAAAA